GAGAGCUCAGUGGUAGAGCAUCUGCUUUGCAUGCAGAAGGUCCCAGCUUCAGUCCCCGGUCGCAUCUCCA